rnacentral:rRNA from 1 species
UGAGGAAUAUUGGUCAAUGUACGCAAGUCUGAACCAGCCAAGUAGCGUGCAGGAUGACGGCCCUAUGGGUUGUAAACUGCUUUUAUAUGGGGAUAAAGUGGGGAACGUGUUCCCUUUUGCAGGUACCAUAUGAAUAAGGACCGGCUAAUUCCGUGCCAGCAGCCGCGGUAAUACGGAAGGUUCGGGCGUUAUCCGGAUUUAUUGGGUUUAAAGGGAGCGUAGGCCGUUUGGUAAGCGUGUUGUGAAAUGUAGGAGCUCAACUUCUAGAUUGCAGCGCGAACUGUCAGACUUGAGUGCGCACAACGUAGGCGGAAUUCAUGGUGUAGCGGUGAAAUGCUUAGAUAUCAUGAAGAACUCCGAUUGCGAAGGCAGCUUACGGGAGCGCAACUGACGCUGAAGCUCGAAGGUGCGGGUAUCGAACAGG